rnacentral:lncRNA from 1 species
CCGAGGAUCUGGAAGCCGGCACACAUCCUCCCUUAAAUCCGAGCCCAGCUUUGUUUACACGGCUCGUCUCACGGCAAGAUGGCGGCCCGCGGGGUGCGGGGCAGCCUCGGGCGAGCGGGCCGUGGGCAGGGGGCUGCAUCCCGGGGCGGCUCCCCUCUCACACAGCGGGACUGGAGGUCUGUUAUCUUGAUGAAACAGGGCUGCGUGGAGAGCAUAAGGACGUUGGGGUGGGGCUCGUUAGCCGCAGUCACUUCGUGCGGGAAGGCAGCUUCUAAGGUGGGCAUUGGCCUCAGACUAAGAGGGGACUGGCCGUCCUAGCCAGAGAUCUCCGUCAUCUUCCAAGCAGGGCUCGCUGCUCAAGCAGCAAUCGUUAUUGAGAAGCGGGACAGAUUUGAAUGAAAGCACUUUGGGGAUGUCUAUGUCUGUCUUAGUGUGGUGGGUGGUAAGAUGCGUUAAUGAACGAGCUGUGCUAAUGACUAGGUUACUGUGGAAAUAUUUCUGAGGGGUGGAGAGGGUGACUCUCAGGAUAACCUGCACUGUAUUUCAUAUUUUGGAAGUAGUGAGAGCUGAGAAGAAAGCAGACAGUAGUAAGGUGCUACGUAGAGCCAGGCAAUGUUCCAUGCGCACCAGCUAUUCUGCUGGCGCAUGCGUGUGUCUCUCAUCUCUGCAACAGGAAGUUUUGCUGGGUCCAGCAUGUUGGCUCAUGCCUGAAAUUCUAGCACUCGGGAGGCGGAGGCAGGAGUAUGGCCAUGAAUUCAAGAGCUGUGUUGGGGAGCCCCCCAGUUUUUCCUCUUCGGUUGCUAUGACACCCACCUACUCCAUCGAUGUAGGUAGACCUACCAAGUAUUCCUUUCGAAGGCUGAAGUGAAGACCCUGGUGUGAAGUCUCCACCUAUCUGCAGUUACUGGAAGCACAAAUCCUGAUGGAUGAGCCAUUUUAACCCACAUCACCAAACGAUGGGAAAAAUUCUUUAAGAAUGGACAAGUGCCUGUGUUAGGUCACAGUUUCUUAAUCCUUCUGGCAAUUACAACGCCCCAGGAGGCCUAACAGUUUGCAGUGCCUAGGUUGGGACCCUAGACUUGUAAGAAGCACCUUUCCUGCUGACACCACCCAUCAGUGUGUAAGUUAAUUUUCCCGAAGGGUGACAAACACACACAAUGUGCACAUGUCUCUAACAAGCCCACAUCUGAGUGUAGCCUCAACAGAUCUGAAAGCAGAGUCUUGAAAAUAUCUGUACACCCAUGCUCACAACAGUCACAGUAGCUGAAAACACCAUGCAUCCAUCAGUGUAGAUACAAAUGAACGGAAUGUGGUGUAGACACAAAGAUCAGCACUCAACUUCACAAAGCGAAUUGCAAUGCGUACUAAAACAGGCAAAGCAUCAUGUUAAGGAAAGUAAGCAGUGGUAAGGAGACAGUUAGAGCAAGCUUCCAUUUCUAAGAGAAACCUAGUCCGAUUCAGAGACGGAAAGAGCAAGAGCUGGGGAUAGGUGGGGCUGAUUAAUUCAUAAAGUGUCGGCUUUGCAUAAUAGCUUAAGCUCAUUCUCUAUUCCUAAACCCCAACACUUAGAAUGGUGUGUUAAUUUGUUUGUUUGUUUGUUUGGUCGCUUGCUUGCUUAAGACAGACUCUUACUAUGUAGCCCUGACUGGCCUACCUAGUAGAUACAACUGUGUAUACCAGGUUGGCUUCAAAAUCACAGAAAUCCACCUGCCUCUACUCCUAAAUGAUGGGAUUAAAGGCAUGCACCACCACACCCACUCAGGAUGGUGCAUUAUUUAAAAGCAUAUAUGGGGCUGGAGAGCUGGCUCAGCAGUUAAGAUUUCUAGUUGUGCUUGCAAAAGACAUGGCUUGUUUCCCAGCAUCCUCUGGGCAGCUUAGAACCAUCUGGAUCUCCAAUUUCAAGGUAUCUGACGCCCUAUUCUGGCCUCUGUAGAAAACAGGCAUGCACAUGGUACACAAACAAGCAUAACCCCCCCCCCCACUCAUACAUGUAAAGUAAGAAUAAAGCUUUUUAAAAAGGCAGACAUGGGGUCUAGCAAACAAAGAAGUAGAUGCUCAUAGUCAGCUAUUGGAUGGAUCACAGGGCCCCCAAUGGAAGAGCUAGAGAAAGUACCCAAG